CGCCUCCACCCAUUUCGUUUCAGUUCCAUUCAUCCUCCUCCGGUCCUCUCCCCAAUUAAGACCAGCCGCGACCGCCGCCGCCGACGACUCCCCCUCCGGCACCCGAAAUGGCGUGAUCCCUGCCCCCGAUUCCCCUCGCCCCCCGCCGUUCAAAUACCUCCCGUCCACCGCGACCCCUCCCUCCCCAUCCCCGAAUCGCGGAGAUCCCGGCGCCCCCGAACCCUAACCCUAGCCACCACCACCACCCACCAUGAAGGCCUCCAUCAAGUUCCGCGACGACGACCGGCCGCUGCUGCGCGCCAAGGUGCCCAUCGGCGUGCUCGGGCUGCCGUUCCUCUCGGGCGUCUCGGCCGGCGGCGCGACGCCGAGGACCUCCGCUUCGAUCUCUCCACCGCCUUCCCCUCCGGCCCGGGGCUCCGCCUCUCGUACCGCCCCAACGACCCGCUCCAGCCCUUCGCGCUCUCCAUCCGCACGGGCCUCGGCGCGCUCGGCUCUCCCGUCCGCGCCCCCUUGGCGCUCUCCGCCGAGUUCAACCUCCUCUCCUCCAACCCGCCCGCCUUCUCGCUCCUCUUCAAGCCCCGGCUCGGCGACUUCUCCCUCGCCAACUCCGUCCGCUCGCCGCCCUUCCCCGACACCCCCGCGCUGCCGCCGCCCCACAAGCUGGCCGACCUCGCCAACGGCGACGACCACGACCAUGAGGGCCACAAGGAGUUCUCCCUCAACGGGAACGGGUUCGCGGCGGACGUCACGGCCGCCGGGACCACCGGCGGAGGGGUGGGCAUGCUGCUGUCCGGGAUGCGCCUCACGACCAGGAGCAUGCUGCCGCUGUGGAACAGGGCGAGCCUGAGGUUCCAGUGGGGGCUGCGUGUGCCACCAGAGCUGAAGGCCGCGCUCGCUGACGAUGGAUACGGGCGGAAGGCGGGGAGCCUGGCUGUCAGCAAGCUGCCGCUGCUCGUCAUGAACAAGAUCACAAUUGAGCACACACCACGCCGGCAUCCCAAGUCUGAAGAGGACAAGAAGGGGAAGAGCGCGCCUGUAGCCCAGGGAGAGGAAUUCUCAUUGAUGAAGAGGCAGCUGGAGGCCCUGAACGAUGAGAGCAUCAUGCUGCGGCACACUGUGGAGGGCCUGCGCGCUGAGAUCGGGGUCAGCCGAGCUAUCUCAGUUCCCAGCAAGGGCGACGCUCGAAGGAUGCCGGCAACGUCGCCGCCUCUGCAAAAUCCUUUCCCCGUGAAGCCUGAUCUCCAUGGAAAUGGGAAGGAGCUGGUGGCCAGUGGACCGAAUGAUGCCAGCGAGGAGCUGAAGAAGGCACUCGAGGCCCGGAGGAAGUGAGCCAUUACCGCAUUAGUGCUUGCUGACAUUGCAAGCUCUGCAAUUUUACAUCUAUUCUGUGCUUAAUAAUAUAGGUUGGUAGGCAGUUUGCGUCCUUGAGUGGAAGCAAACGACAUUCUCAUAAGGUGAUUCAGUAAUUUUCCAUGUUUUCCAUGUCGAUCGUCGUGUUAGGAUAUGUCAUUAUGUAUAAACCUGCGUUUUCGUCUUUGCAAGUUCCUGUUAGUAGUAGAAGUUUCAACUUCUGUUGUGAUGUUCAAAAUUCUUCUGUUGGCCAGAUGCUAUUCUGGAGGCAUUUUGGUAAA